GAUGAAGAACGUAGCGAAAUGCGAUAAGUAAUGUGAAUUGCAGAAUUCCGUGAAUCAUCGAAUCUUUGAACGCACAUUGCGCCCUUUGGCAUUCCGAAGGGCACACCUGUCCGAGCGCCGUCGCACAACUGAGGCGCAGCCUUGCGUUGGCGGGCGACUUGUGAGUAGCGAGUCGCCGCCCAAACGAGACGGCGCCGCGCCGCGGCCGACGAAGCACGAAAGCGGAAGUCGACGCGGAGGCGGUUGCCUGUAGGAAGACACAGCUUGGCCUCGGAUCAGGUGGGGAUACCCGCUGAACUUAAGCAUAUCAAUAAGCGGAGGA
rnacentral:misc_RNA from 1 species